CAGAGCACUCACACUUCUUAAACGAUCCAAGAAACAGACCUGGGCACGGUUCGGAUAGCAUAGUGUGAAUACGCCCUAUGACUUGCAAUUUCAAGUUUACAUUUCACAGUUUUGAAAAAAAGGUCAGAAGUGCAGUAACAGUGCUUAUACAUUUAGCCUGGCUUCCAGACAAUCAAAAUGUUUGACAGUAUGUGACCUGUGGUGUAUCUCUCUUGAAAACUAGAUGCUGUCUGCAAGCAGUGGAGGCUGCCAACAAAACUGCUAUGGCCUCUACAAAUUUUGUAGGUCUGCCUUACUUCAUCUGUGUGUUUGCACUGCUGGUUAACAAAGCAUCUCUUCAGCUAGCCACAGUAGAAGGUGUUAUUGGUGGUUCUGCUCUCUGCCCUGUUCCUCAACUAAAGAUGCAAGCAAGCAAGACAUUAAUGUUCAUUGGAGAGAUGGUAGUGGUAAAACUGUGUUUGACUUAAUCAAGGGCGAAGCUUCAAUGGAGCAGGAUCAAUGGUACAAGAACAGAACUGAAUCUUUCCCUCAGGAACAUCUGAGAAGAAACUUCUCCAUUAAACUCAACAAACUUCAGCACAAUGAUGCAGGAAAAUACAUCUGCUACAUCUCACACUCAUCUGAACAACCAGCUGUACGACUGAUCAUCAACGAAUCAAAUACAGAAAAUGGAAACAAACCAAGUAAACCAGAUGACAAAAGAGAAGAGACAGCAUCAGAAAUGGAAUUAUCAACACUUUUACUCUGGGUUUUCAUUCCGUUAGCUAUAUUAAUUAGUUUAGGGGUUAUCAUUGUUUUAAUUAUUUACAGAAAGAAAAUACAAUCUGCCUUCUCUCCUGUCACAACUGAAAACACGGGUGACACUGACUAAUGAAAAGCAGGACAAGAAACUUAACUUUUGUUACAUUCCUUUUUUUACUGAAUUGUUACAGCUUUGGCUAUUUUUGGUGUGAAAGACACUGAAUCUCAAAUCACUAAUAACUGCUUUGAUUUUUUGCAGGGAUGUACAUAAUUAGUGUGUAGUUCAAUCCGCUUUUUUGCCUACCCAUAUGGUGGAUGGAUGUUAAUGAAAAAUCACUGUUUUAGAUCAACUAUCUGUAUCAUUGAAGUAUACUCUCUGAAUCGUGAAGUUCCAAAUAAGCAGGUAUAUGAUUACUACUUUGUCAACCAGAUAUCUCCAUCUAAAGCUUUUCUACAUAGUUUCUACACUCUAAAAGAGACGCUUUUUUUUUAAAUCACAUAACUGCCUAGUGUAUAGCAGCUUUGCAGCCGAUGUUUUACAUUGCUUUUAUAUGCAGCUUUUAAUGGCCAAAGUUGUAUUUAUAACAAUUCCAAGGCAGCAUCAGUAAUAACAAACUGAGACAAUGGUAGCUCUAGCAACACUAGCUUUUAGCCAUUAAACUACUUCAGAAAGGCAAUUUGCAAAGCAAAAUAUGCUAAAGAAAGAUUUCUGUGAGCUCAAGAAAGAUUUCUGUGAGCUCUUGGAAACAG